rnacentral:rRNA from 1 species
AGAGUUUGAUCAUGGCUCAGGACGAACGCUGACGGUGUGCUUUAGGCAUGCAAGUCGAACGAGAAAGCCCUUCGGGGUGAGUAAAGUGGCGAACGGGUGAGUAACACGUGGGCAACCUGCCCCUCGCAGGGGGACAACCGGAGGAAACUCCGGCUAAUACCCCGUACGCUUGUUGGAUCGCAUGGUCCGGCAAGGAAAGGUAGCUUCGGCCAUCCGGCGAGGGAUGGGCCCGCGUUGCAUUAGCUAGUUGGUGGGGUAACGGCCUACCAAGGCGACGAUGCGUAGCUGGUCUGAGAGGAUGAUCAGCCACACUGGGACUGAGACACGGCCCAGACUCCUACGGGAGGCAGCAGCCAGGAAUCUUGGGCAAUGGGCGAAAGCCUGACCCAGCAACACCGUGUGGGUGACGAAGGCCUUAGGGUCGUAAAGCCCUGUUGAUAGGGACGAAGGGCGAAGGGUUAAUAGCCCCUAGCUUGACGGUACCUUUCGAGGAAGCCCCGGCUAACUACGUGCCAGCAGCCGCGGUAAUACGUAGGGGGCGAGCGUUGUCCGGAAUUAUUGGGCGUAAAGAGCGUGUAGGCGGUUCGGUAAGUCUGCUGUGAAAUCCUGGGGCUCAACCCCGGGCGUGCAGCGGAUACUGCCGGGCUAGAGGGUGGUAGAGGCGAGUGGAAUUCCGAGUGUAGCGGUGAAAUGCGCAGAUAUUCGGAGGAACACCAGUAGCGAAGGCGGCUCGCUGGGCCACACCUGACGCUGAGACGCGAAAGCGUGGGGAGCGAACAGGAUUAGAUACCCUAGUAGUCC